rnacentral:rRNA from 1 species
AUGUUUUUCCGCUCUCUUGUUAAAAAUUGUGGAUUCUAUGAUAUAGGUUUUAGUGGUCCUGCGUAUACUUGGCGUAGUAAACAACACACUUCGGAACCUAUUUAUAGACGCCUUGAUCGCUGCUUGGUUAAUUCUGAAUGGUGCAUGCAUUAUCCUAAUACUAAAGUCCUCAACUUGCCUAUUAUUCUUAGUGAUCAUGCCCCCAUUCUAGUGUCUACUGAAGGUACUUUUGUUAAACCUAAGCAAACAUUUAAGUUUGAAAAUUGGUGGCUGCUGGAGAAAGAUUUCGCUAGUUUUGCUAAAUCUGCAUGGAAUAAUUGCUCAGUUCACUCCUUUGCAGCCAAAACCUCUUAUUUGGCAGGUUCCUUAAAGAUGUGGUGCAAGAAAAAAAAGCUCCAGCAGGAUCUUCUUGACCUAGAAUCGAAGAUUAAUCAAAUUCAACAACUUCCUUUGCAACCGCAGAAUCAUGCAUUGGAAAGUUCUCUUAUUUUCAGGUAUGAGCAAACUCUUUCUAAGCUUAACCAAUUCUAUAAGCAGAGAAGUAAGAAAGGUUGGGCUACUGCUGGAGAUUGUAAUACUAAAUUUUUCCAUCAAGCGGUGGUUAAACGUAGGAAGAGGAAUACUAUUUGUUCUGUUAAGGAUGAGAAUGAUAUGAUCCAUUUCAAACCUAGUGCUAUCACUAACACUUUUGUUAAUUAUUUUCGUUAUAUUUUCUCAUCUCUCGAUAAUAAUGCUGAUAGGCCUUAUCUUGAUACACAUUGGCCUAGUGACUCUCUGGAUCCUACCUAUGCUCUUCCUGAUAAACAUGAGGUUUUACAGAUUCUCAAAGAAAUGAAAUUGAAUGCUUCUCCAGGGCCAGAUGGAUUUAAUGUUGAAUUUUAUUUGGCGGCCUGGGACUGGAUAGGAGAUGAAGUCACUCAACUUGUCAUUAACUUUUACACUACUGGUAUUUUGCCUCCACAUAUUAAUGACACUAACAUUGCUCUUAUUCCGAAAAAGCUUGUGCCUCAAGUUCCCAUGGACUAUCGCCCUAUUAGCCUUUGUAAUGUUGUUUACAAAAUCAUUGCAAAGUCGCUUGCUAAUAGGAUCAAGCCUCAUCUUCCUGAUUAUAUCGAUCCUGCUCAACAAGCUUUCAUUGAGGGUAGACGUAUUAGUGAUAACAUCAUUAUUGCCCAGGAGAUUGCCCACUCUUUCUCUCUUAAAUCUUGGAAACACAGUGCUUUCAUGCUUAAGAUAGAUCUAGCCAAAGCUUUUGAUCGUCUAGAAUGGAAUUUUAUUGUGUCUGCUCUUGCUCGUAAAGGGCUGCAUGGUCACUUCAUUAAUUUAAUUCAUGCAUGUGUUUCUUCUCCUACGUUCUCUGUGCUGAUUAAUGGACAACCCUCUCACAAGUUUAGGAGCUUUCGAGGUAUUCGUCAGGGCUGUCCGAUGUCUCCUUUUUUGUUUGUUAUUGCCAUCAAUGAAUUAUCUAUUGCUCUCAACGAAGCUCUUGCUGCUCAUCAUUUGCAGGGUAUUUCGCUUGGACCAAAUUGCCCUUCUAUCCACUCUUUGUUAUUUGCAGAUGACUUGUUGGUUUGUGGGCAAGCCAGUCUUCAAGAAGCUCGCACUAUGGCUCAUCUUAUUAAUCAUUUUUGUUCUAUCUCAGGUCAAACUCCAAAUUGGGCCAAAUCAGCCAUUCUUUUCAGUUCUCAUGUUCCUCAAGCUAUGAUGCAGGAUAUUAAGCAGAUUUUCCCUGUUUCUAAUCUGGAUAGCAAUUUCACUCAUCUUGGUCAUCCACUUGUUCUUCCUGCAAAAAGAAGAGCUGCUGCAUAUAACUUUGUUCUAGACAAAUUUCUGAAUAAGUUGCCCAUUUAUAAAGCUAACAUGCUUUCUCAUGCUGCCAGACUUGAAUUGAUUCGCUCGGUUUUCUCGGCUAUCCCUCUCUAUUACAUGGCUAAUAUCUUGUUUACGAAGAAAUUCAUUGCUAAGCUUACUGCUGUUAUUAGGAAUUUUUGGUGGACAGGUGUUCGAGAAAAUGACUCAAAAAAGAGUCUUUGCCUUAGAGCAUGGAAGGACAUUUGCAAUUCAAAAGAUGAAGGUGGCUUAGGUGUCAGAAAUUUAAAAGCUAUUAAUGAGAGUCUUCUUAUUUCUGCUGCCUGGAGGUUAGCCAAGUUCCCUUCUUCUCACUUGCAUCUUGUGCUUAAGGCUAAGUACUUUCAUGAUGCUUCUAUCUGGACAGCUACUGCUAUUUCUCCCAAAUCAGCUUUCUGGGCCUCUAUUUUGAAAUUGUUGCCUAAACUUAAAGCUCAUUCUUUUUAUCAGUUAUCUCAAGGUAAUAUUUCAAUUUGGAGCACACCUUGGUGCACUCUUUGGAGCUCGGUUCAUGAUCAUCUUAUUGCUCAACAACCUGGUUUUAUAUAUCCUUCUUUAGUUAAAGAUCUUUGGCUUCCAGGUCAAAAAAGUUGGAAUCAUGAUCUUGUUUUCUCCCUUUUCCAGCAACCUUUGGCCUCUCUCAUUGUUCAAACUGAAAUUAUUGAUGACGAAAGUCCAGACUUGCUUUGUUAG